CGUUGAAACACCGGUUUCCGUACAAGCAACGAAGUUAAGCAACAUCGAGCCUGGUCAGUACCUCGAUGGGUGAUCUCUUUGGAAAACCAGGUACUGUAAG